rnacentral:lncRNA from 1 species
UUUUAAAAUUUUUUUUUUUUUUUAUUUUGUUUUUUUUUUUUGUUUUUUUUUUUUUUUUCCCCUGGGGGGGUUUUUGUAGUGAGGGGUGGUGGGGGGGUUUUUUUUUCUUUUUUUAAAAUUUUUUUUGGUAAAUGUGUCUAAGUAAAACUUAGAAAUAUUGCUAUUUGAUUGUAGAUUUGUUCAGUAAUAUGUAAAUACAUACCUAUUGUAUUCCAGCUUAGACAGGAUGAUGAUAUUUGUGGAGGUCAGGGAACAGCUGACUCACUAUAAUAUGCACUUGAACUGUCCUUAAACAUUUUAGAGAUUUAAAGAUAGACAUUAAAAAUCCCAUAUGUUCUGUACACUAAAGCAUUUACGGUGGAGAACAAAAUCUACGUUCAUCAUUCAUACAAUGACUGCUAAAGCUAAUUAAAGAUCCCCUCCAGACAUGUAUUCAGACAUAUAUAAAAGUUGUCUGCUUGGAACAAUAAUGUGUGUUUUAUCCACAAAAAGUAAAAAAAAAGUUUGAUUUUUCCACAUUAAAAUCCUCAAACAAUUCCAGAAUCUGUGAAUAUGCAAAUAUUGUUCAUUUUCAAGUUCUCCUGUUGGACACAAGAUGUCUCCUACUUCACUGUAAAGAUUUGUGUGUGAAAAUUAUACUUUUUUUGGACAAAAAACACAUCAGACACACAUUAUUUUUAAAACAACCUACUUGUGUGUCUGGGGGUCUUUCAGCUUUUUAACAGUGUUCUACUAAAAAUUCUGUUGAUUCUAAGAAAGUUAAAAGAAUUGUACGAUUUUCCCACAUAUGUAUGAAAACUUAUCCCUUGUGCCAUCAAAGGUUUAUAUAUAGAUAACCAGAACAAAAAACACAUGCAGGUGUAUUUACUGUUCACUCUCUGAGAACAUGACCUUAACUCACAUAUUACUCUCAGCUUAACUAAGAGGAGCGUGAUCGUCCGUUUUUCUUUUGAAACCUGACCUACUCUGACCCCAAAAGGUGUCGAUAAGCCUCACACUCCACAACAUGCUCAUUAUUUUCUGAAACAGAGCCCUAAAAAUGCAUUGGAAUUCUACUGAGAUUACUUCUUCGCUUCAGUACGAGUCAGAAUGAUCACAGUUCAGAAUAAUGCUCCAAACCUGCAGUUACAACCUAAACAUAAGAUCUGAGUAGUGAAAGACGCGAAGGUUUGAGGACGUAUUUCUCACUGACACAAUUAACCUUAGAUGUAGGCUUGCAAGUGACAGUUAUUUCAGUUAUCAGUUAAUCUGCAGAUUAUCUGUUCAAGUAAUCAGUUAAAGCUGCAGUAGGUAAAAUAGAAAUUACUUUGUCAUUAUUGUUUACAUUUUCACUGCAUUCUGAUAGUAGUACAUGAGACAGAUACUCUGAAAAACCUCAGGUUCCUCU